UAGGGGAGCCGAAGGGAAACCGAGUCUUAACUGGGCGUUAAGUUGCAGGGUAUAGACCCGAAACCCGGUGAUCUAGCCAUGGGCAGGUUGAAGGUUGGGUAACACUAACUGGAGGACCGAACCGACUAAUGUUGAAAAAUUAGCGGAUGACUUGUGGCUGGGGGUGAAAGGCCAAUCAAACCGGGAGAUAGCUGGUUCUCCCCGAAAGCUAUUUAGGUAGCGCCUCGUGAAUUCAUCUCCGGGGGUAGAGCACUGUUUCGGCAAGGGGGUCAUCCCGACUUACCAACCCGAUGCAAACUGCGAAUACCGGAGAAUGUUAUCACGGGAGACACACGGCGGGUGCUAACGUCCGUCGUGAAGAGGGAAACAACCCAGACCGCCAGCUAAGGUCCCAAAGUCAUGGUUAAGUGGGAAACGAUGUGGGAAGGCCCAGACAGCCAGGAUGUUGGCUUAGAAGCAGCCAUCAUUUAAAGAAAGCGUAAUAGCUCACUGGUCGAGUCGGCCUGCGCGGAAGAUGUAACGGGGCUAAACCAUGCACCGAAGCUGCGGCAGCGACACUAUGUGUUGUUGGGUAGGGGAGCGUUCUGUAAGCCUGUGAAGGUGGCCUGUGAGGGUUGCUGGAGGUAUCAGAAGUGCGAAUGCUGACAUAAGUAACGAUAAAGCGGGUGAAAAGCCCGCUCGCCGGAAGACCAAGGGUUCCUGUCCAACGUUAAUCGGGGCAGGGUGAGUCGACCCCUAAGGCGAGGCCGAAAGGCGUAGUCGAUGGGAAACAGGUUAAUAUUCCUGUACUUGGUGUUACUGCGAAGGGGGGACGGAGAAGGCUAUGUUGGCCGGGCGACGGUUGUCCCGGUUUAAGCGUGUAGGCUGGUUUUCCAGGCAAAUCCGGAAAACC
rnacentral:rRNA from 1 species